GAUGAACGCUAGCGGCAGGCCUAAUACAUGCAAGUCGAACGGUGUCUUCGGACAUAGUGGCGCACGGGUGCGUAACACGUAUGCAACCUACCUUACAUUGGGGGAUAGCCUUUCAAAAGGGAGAUUAAUACCGCAUAAGACAGUAGCUGGGCAUCCAGCAGCUGUUAAAGAUUUAUCGAUGUAAGAUGGGCAUGCGUCCAAUUAGUUAGUUGGCGAGGUAACGGCUCACCAAGACUUUGAUUGGUAGGGGAACUGAGAGGUCAAUCCCCCACACUGGCACUGAGAUACGGGCCAGACUCCUACGGGAGGCAGCAGUAGGGAAUAUUGGGCAAUGGACGCAAGUCUGACCCAGCCAUGCCGCGUGCAGGAUGAAGGCGUUAUGCGUUGUAAACUGCUUUUAUACAGGAAGAAACGACUCUUGCGAGAGGCAUUGACGGUACUGUAUGAAUAAGCACCGGCUAACUCCGUGCCAGCCGCCGCGGUAAAAC
rnacentral:rRNA from 1 species